AAACCCGUGAGGGUUGGCGGUUACAACCUCUUAGAGGAGCUUGUUUCAUAAUCGACAACACACGAUAAUUUUCACUUGAUUAAAAAGCUCAUAUACCGCCGUUAUAACAGGAAAUUAAUAACUAAAAUUCCACCAAAGAAUAUCCCUAAAAAAUCAGGUCAAGGUGUCGCCUUUAAUCAAGAAGAAAUUAGCUACUUAUAAACACAAUUUAAGGAAUAUAGCCCAAAAUCAAUACGAAAGAGAAUCUACAUUCAUAAUUAACUUAAAAUUUUAAUUUGAAACAUAGACCGUUGUAAUGC
rnacentral:rRNA from 1 species